rnacentral:rRNA from 1 species
AAUCAACGCUGGCGGCGGGCCUAAAACAUGCAAGUCGAACGCCCUAGCAAUAGGGAGUGGCGCACGGGUGAGUAACAUGUGGGAAUAUGCCUUUUGGUACGGAACAACGUUUGGAAACGAACGCUAAUACCGUAUGGUCCCUCCGGGGUAAAGAUUUAUCGCCAAAAGAUUAGCCCGCACUAGAUUAGCUAGUUGGUAAGGUAAUGGCUUACCAAGGCGACGAUCUAUAGCUGUUCUGAGAGGAAGAUCAGCCACACUGGGACUGAGACACGGCCCAGACUCCUACGGGAGGCAGCAGUUAGGAAUAUUGGACAGUGGGCGCAAGCCUGAUCCAGCCAUGCCGCGUGAGUGAUGAAGGCCUUCGGGUUGUAAAGCUCUUUAGCCGACGAAUAUAAUGACUGUAGUCGGAGAAUAAGCCCCGGCUAACUUCGUGCCAGCAGCCGCCGUAAGAC